rnacentral:lncRNA from 1 species
GGUAAACUAUUCAAUCAUGAGUUUCUUGACAAAUUUGACGAAGAUCAUUAUGUUCUCCUCAUUUUGAUGUUAAUACAUCUUUCUUUGUAGGAUUCAACCUUCUCCCACUGGAAGUUCUACCUGAUUCACAAGCUUCAGAUGAAGUCGGUGAAUAUGAUCCAUCUACAUGUACCGGACUUUUCAACAGUUUGGCCACUGGAAAU